rnacentral:lncRNA from 1 species
UGUGGAGCAGCCAGGUCUUGAACUGGUGCCCAUGUGGGAUGCCGGCGCUCAGGCCAGGGUGUUAACCCGUAGCGCCACAGUGCCAACCCCUGUUGGGUUAAUCUCUUGAAUAUAAAGUAAACUGAAAAUAAAUCUUUGUAAAAAUUAAGAGUGAGAAUAGUAGAGAAAGGAGGAAGAAAGGUGGGAGUGUGUUCAGGAGUGGUGGUAGGGUGAGAAGACUCACUAUGUUCUGAUAUCUAUAUGUAUGAAAUGUGUAUACCUUAAAUAAAAAUAAGAAAGAAAUCAAAAAAGAAAAAAAUCAAUAUAUUAAACCUAAAAAAUACAAACUUAUUUUUUCUUUUUUAGCUCUUUCUCAUUCUACUUUAUUAAAAUAUGGUACCAAAAAUGGCUUUGGAGAAUAUUAAAAUAGAAGAUUACCUUUGGAUUCAGGUAAAGAGCAAAAAAAGUCAUGAAGGAUGAAAUAAAACCUCAGUGUGUAUACAGAAGGUGAUUAAUUCUCAUGGAGCUGCUCAUAUGUAUUUGAUACUUAAUAAAAGAUUUUCAAUUAAUUAUGAUGUGUGGGAC